GUGUGAAGUGUGUGGGCGGCCCGAGCCAUCCAGCUGCUGGCGUGAGCUAAGUGAAACGGCCUAUAGUACAGAUCUUGGUGGUAGUAGCAAAUAUUCAAAUGAGA
rnacentral:rRNA from 13 species